CCUACGGGAGGCAGCAGUCGAGAAUCAUUCACAAUGGGGGAAACCCUGAUGGUGCGACGCCGCGUGGGGGAAUGAAGGUCUUCGGAUUGUAAACCCCUUUCAUGGGGGAGCAAAUGAAAAAGAUAGUACCACAAGAGGAAGAGACGGCUAACUCUGUGCCAACAGCCGCGGUAAUACAGAGGUCUCAAGCGUUGUUCGGAAUCACUGGGCGUAAAGCGUGCGUAGGCUGUUUCGUAAGUCGGGUGUGAAAGGCGCGGACUCAACCCGAGGACGGCACAUGAUACUGCGAGACUAGAGUAAUGGAGGGGGAACCGGAAUUCUCGGUGUAGCAGUGAAAUGCGUAGAUAUCGAGAGGAACACUCGUGGCGAAGGCGGGUUCCUGGACAUUAACUGACGCUGAGGCACGAAGGCCAGGGGAGCGAAAGGGAUUAGAUACCCUGGUAGUC
rnacentral:rRNA from 1 species